AGAGACUACUCUCUCUAGCUCUGAUGGAGGGACCUGGCUGUAGAGAUCUGAAUAGAGGACCUAGUUUGGAGCAGGACUGGGGAAAGGCCAAGGGAGCCGAGGAGCUCCAGCCUAGGAAAGCUGCAGGCCUGGUAACCUGGUCCUGACCCUGAGCUCCGAUUUCUGCCUUCGGCUCUGGCCUCUGGCUCUGACACUUGGCUCCAAUUUCUGGCUACCAGCUCCUGCUCUAACCACUGGAUGUGACUCCUGCUCCAACCACUCAGCAUGACCACUCACGUCCUGGUCACUGACAUUGGGCCCAUCUCUGAUUGUUCAUCCCAAAAGUACAGCCACAGAGAUUCCCAAAUGAUGCUCGCUAAUGGGAGGCAUUUGCAGUGGCGCUGGAACAAUUUUUACAGUUGGGGUGCUGAAAGUCUGGUCCCCAAACUUUUUACCUUGCCCCUUCUUACCCUGUCUGUGCUCCCUCUCCCCCGAGUUGAGGCCAGGACUGGGCUGUGGAUCGGGGUAAGGUGACUCAGGCUGGGACCACACCUUGCGGGGCUAGUAGCGGGACCCCGUGUCUGGGACCAGCGGUGGAGCAUGGGGCCGGCAGCCAGGACCCCACGCAAACUGAUUAACCCCUUGCACCCCAAGUUCCCGUGCCUACGGGCAUUUGUAGGCUCUCACUAGGUGAUUGCACCAUGUAACACACAGCUUGUAUGAAUAACUCCCAUGCUUGUUUUCCAGGUGCUGUAUUGAGAAUUGACAAUGAAAAUAUUUCUGUCACUACCGUGAAUGUAAAACUGUCUCUACUGAAGAGUAAAUACAUUCAAAAUUUCUAACACACCCUUUCAAUGAGUAAAAGAUGGAGUGGGUGUGUGCAUGUGUGUGCACAGACAGUUUCAGAAUUACCACUGCAAGAAAUAUGGGUCUCUUCUGCUCGGUUGUCACAGGACUGCUGUUUCCAUAUGCCUGACGGGCACUGCCAAAGGGACCUGUGCUGCUCACUGCAUACAACAUGGUCCAGCCAUGUGGGACCAGAACCUGCUCCAUAUGCAAAGUCUCUUGCAACCUGCCCUCUAUCCCCACAGUUCAGCUGUUUGCAUACAAUGGCUGGGGUGUCUCCAGACAUCUGAUUGGAGCAAACACUGCCCCACGUCCCAUUGUAGAAAACCUCCAGCCGCCCAGCACAAUCACGGUUGCUCACCAGCCUCAAAUCCGUGAAUUCUAGAAGGAAGUGCACAAAAAGAGAAUUUAAAUCAUCUGAUUCUGAAAUGAACUGGGGUGAAGAGUGAAAUCCCAGCGAUUGCUCAACCCAACAGUAUAGCCACAUCAUUCUGCAGGAGCAAGUGCAGAGAGAAUCACUCUAAGAAUGAGAGACUCUCCUGGACACCAUGGGCCUAUUAGAAAUACAAUGGUCACCUCUGAAAAGUCACCAGUUCCCAGCAGUUACACACACAGACACCUCAAUACAGCAGUGACUGCCCUGCCAACACUAGAGAAAUGCUGCGAUAUCUCCAAUACUCCUGGGUGGGAACCGAUGGGAAAUGGUGACUUUCUAAUCAUGACCCCAGUAGGUAGGUAGAGGAGUAGAGUGACCAUAUUUUCUCAAAGGGAAAACGGAACAUCCCACGGGGGGCCCAACCCCAAAACCUCCCUUCCUCUCCCCCACACAGGUGGGGCCAGCCUGAGCCUACCCUACCUCCCACCUACACAGGGACAGCCUGAGGUUCCCCUAUCCCCUCAGCAUGUGGGCCAGCCUGAGCCCCCCUGCCACCCACCCAUGCGGGGUCAGCGCGAGGCCCCAUUCUUCCAUCCCGCGCGCACAGCGGCCGAAGACCCCUGCUGUCCUCCCGCGUUGGGCUAGCGUUGCCACUGCCCCCCCUCCCCCCACAUGUUCCUCUGCACUCCGCUAGGGGGCUCAUCCCACUUUUUGGGGAAAACUGUGCACGUGUCCAAUUUGCUCUUCCCAACUUGUGAUCCGUUGGCAAGAGGAAAUGAGAGAAAUGCCCAGUUUUGCCAAAACAGUCGGGACGGCCAGGGCAGGCUUAAAAAAGAGAGUGUCCUGGCCAAAACGCGCUGUAUGGGCACCCUAUAGAAAAGACAGUGAGGGAGAGGCUUUAUCCUUCUCAACUCUCUCCUCAAAUGUCUGCCCCCUCCAUUAAAUCCCUGGUAACCAGGCUCACGUGAGCAUUCCCGGACCAGACCUGAGCAGAGAACUCCCGCGUCCUCUUUGUGUCUGCAGUUGUGCUGGCCCCAGCCCCUGGAAGGACAGUCCCAAAGAUCGGAUUCAUUCCCAGAGCAGUUCACAUCGUCCAGCCAGAUCUGCCCGGAUCCUUCCCCGUAAUGAGCAGAGACAGUUGCAUUGAUGGUGCGUCCACAUCCCAGUUGUUUGCAAACCACAUUGGAGUCCGGUAGGUCCCAGAAAUCAUCACAGACUGUCCCCCAGCUGCCAUUGUAAUAAAUCUCCACUCUCCCAGCACAGCGACCUGCCCCAUUCACCAGUCUGAUCUGCCCGCUUCCUGCAGGGAUAGAUCCCAGCUGUUAAUAUGCAAUAUGAUGACUAUUAAAUAGCUUCCAUGCAAAUCAAUGAUGAUGCUAGAACGGCUGAGAUAUUGAAAUGCUUUUUAAAAUCUGUCUUUAACAAGAAACACAGAAAAGGAGAAAAGCUGAGUAAGGAAAUGAGGAAUACUUUUUACAGAGCACUAUUGAUAAACAGCAUGUGAGUAUAAGGGCCUAAUUCUGAAUUCCUUACUCAUCGGAGUAAUCCUUAAGGGACUCGUCAUAUGGGUCAUAGCUAUUUGUGAGACUAAGGGUUAGCGGAAACAGCCCUUACUCAAAAUCUUGAAUAUUCUCAAACAACUCUUAAAUGAUAAGCAUCAAGGUGUUCAAGGAAUUAUUAGGCAAUUAAUUUACCCAAAACCAAAUAUUCUUUUCAAUUGUUACAGAAUGGGGAGGGGGUGACACCGGCUGACCAGGUCAUGCUAGAGUGUAGUUAGAUCCGUUCACUUGUGUAGAUUAAAGUAAUGGUUAGAUGUAUACGUGUGUAUUCAGAUGUUUAAACUUUAUGAAAACUAGUGGAAUGUUAUGGGUAUUGUUUUUGCGUGUCUAUUCCUGUCAUAAUGUAAUGCCAAACCUUUACAUGAUAAAUACACUUGUAGCUAAAUAACACAUCAAAUAAAUUUUGUGAAAUGCUAAGGA